GACGAACGCUGGCGGCGUGCUUAACACAUGCAAGUCGAACGGAAAGGCCCUGCUUUUGUGGGGUGCUCGAGUGGCGAAAGGGUGAGUAACACGUGAGUAACCUGCCCUUGACUUUGGGAUAACUUCAGGAAACUGGGGCUAAUACCGGAUAGGAGCUCCUGCUGCAUGGUGGGGGUUGGAAAGUUUCGGCGGUUGGGGAUGGACUCGCGGCUUAUCAGCUUGUUGGUGGGGUAGUGGCUUACCAAGGCUUGGACGGGUAGCCGGCCUGAGAGGGUGACCGGCCACAUUGGGACUCAGGUAGGGGCAGGACGGCUACGGGAGGCAGCAGUGGGGAACUGUGCGCAAUGGGCGGCAGCCUUAUGCAGCAUCUUCGGGUGCGGGAUGACGGCCUUCGGGUUGUAAACCGCUUUCGCCUGUAACGUAGCGUGAGUGACGGUAAUGGAUAAGGAAGCACCGGCUAACUACGUG
rnacentral:rRNA from 1 species